UGGGGAAUUUUGGACAAUGGACGCAAGUCUGAUCCAGCCAUGCCGCGUGCGGGAAGAAGGCCUUCGGGUUGUAAACCGCUUUUGUCAGGGAAGAAACGAGUUUCUCUAAUACAGAGACUUAAUGACGGUACCUGAAGAAUAGGCACCGGCUAACUACGUGCCAGCAGCCGCGGUAAUACGUAGGGUGCAAGCGUUAAUCGGAAUUACUGGGCGUAAAGCGUGCGCAGGCGGUUAUGUAAGACAGAUGUGAAAUCCCCGGGCUCAACCUGGGAACUGCCUUUGUGACUGCAUAGCUAGAGUACGGUAGAGGAGGAUGGAAUUCCGCGUGUAGCAGUGAAAUGCGUAGAUAUGCGGAGGAACACCGAUGGCGAAGCCAAUCCCCUGGACCUGUACUGACGCUCAUGCACGAAAGCGUGGGGAGCAAACA
rnacentral:rRNA from 1 species